rnacentral:rRNA from 1 species
AUACGUAGGGGGCGAGCGUUGUCCGGAAUGAUUGGGCGUAAAGGGCGCGCAGGCGGCCCGGUAAGUCUGUAGUGAAAGUCCUGUGUUUAAGAUGGGAAUUGCUUUGGAUACUGUCGGGCUUGAGUGCAGGAGAGGUAAGUGGAAUUCCCAGUGUAGCGGUGAAAUGCGUAGAGAUUUGGAGGAACACCAGUGGCGAAGGCGACUUACUGGACUGUAACUGACGCUGAGGCGCGAAAGUGUGGGGAGCAAACAGGAUUAGAUACCCUGGUAGUCCACACUGUAAACGAUGAAUGCUAGGUGUAGGGGGUAUCGACCCCUUCUGUGCCGCAGUCAACACAAUAAGCAUUCCGCCUGGGGAGUACGGCCGCAAGGUUGAAACUCAAAUGAAUUGACGGGG